rnacentral:rRNA from 1 species
CAGGCUGAAGACCUUACCCGAUUAGCUGAGAGGUGGUGCAUGGCCGUCGUCAGUUCGUACUGUGAAGCAUCCUGUUAAGUCAGGCAACGAGCGAGACCCACGUCCACAGUUGCCAGCAUACCCUCCGGGGUGAUGGGUACACUGUGGAGACCGCCGCUGCUAAAGCGGAGGAAGGAGUGGGCAACGGUAGGUCAGUAUGCCCCGAAUCUCCCGGGCUACACGCGGGCUACAAUGGUUGGUACAAUGGGCAUCUACCCCGAAAGGGGAAGGAAAUCUCUUAAAGCCAAUCGUAGUUCGGAUUGAGGGCUGCAACUCGCCCUCAUGAAGCUGGAAUCCGUAGUAAUCGCGGAUCAGCAUGCCGCGGUGAAUACGUUCCCGGGCCUU